CUCAGGGGAAGAGAAUAAUCUCUUCCAAUGCUCAGGUCUUUAUGUGGCUCAAAGACCCAGAGGUGCUAAGGACUGGCCCAAGAAGGAGGAGGAUCCUGGCACAGCCAUAGGCACUCCAGAGGACCAUGUUCACCUUGAUCUCAGCACAGAACAUCAAGUCAAUCCUACCUGGUGAAGCAGUUCAACCCU